rnacentral:rRNA from 1 species
GCGGGGGGGGGUGCCUAUACAUGCAAGUCGAACGAACUCUGGUAUUGAUUGGUGCUUGCAUCAUGAUUUACAUUUGAGUGAGUGGCGAACUGGUGAGUAACACGUGGGAAACCUGCCCAGAAGCGGGGGAUAACACCUGGAAACAGAUGCUAAUACCGCAUAACAACUUGGACCGCAUGGUCCGAGUUUGAAAGAUGGCUUCGGCUAUCACUUCUGGAUGGUCCCGCGGCGUAUUAGCUAGAUGGUGAGGUAACGGCUCACCAUGGCAAUGAUACGUAGCCGACCUGAGAGGGUAAUCGGCCACAUUGGGACUGAGACACGGCCCAAACUCCUACGGGAGGCAGCAGUAGGGAAUCUUCCACAAUGGACGAAAGUCUGAUGGAGCAACGCCGCGUGAGUGAAGAAGGGUUUCGGCUCGUAAAACUCUGUUGUUAAAGAAGAACAUAUCUGAGAGUAACUGUUCAGGUAUUGACGGUAUUUAACCAGAAAGCCACGGCUAACUACGUGCCAGCAGCCGCGGUAAUACGUAGGUGGCAAGCGUUGUCCGGAUUUAUUGGGCGUAAAGCGAGCGCAGGCGGUUUUUUAAGUCUGAUGUGAAAGCCUUCGGCUCAACCGAAGAAGUGCAUCGGAAACUGGGAAACUUGAGUGCAGAAGAGGACAGUGGAACUCCAUGUGUAGCGGUGAAAUGCGUAGAUAUAUGGAAGAACACCAGUGGCGAAGGCGGCUGUCUGGUCUGUAACUGACGCUGAGGCUCGAAAGUAUGGGUAGCAAACAGGAUUAGAUACCCUGGUAGUCCAUACCGUAAACGAUGAAUGCUAAGUGUUGGAGGGUUUCCGCCCUUCAGUGCUGCAGCUAACGCAUUAAGCAUUCCGCCUGGGGAGUACGGCCGCAAGGCUGAAACUCAAAGGAAUUGACGGGGGCCCGCACAAGCGGUGGAGCAUGUGGUUUAAUUCGAAGCUACGCGAAGAACCUUACCAGGUCUUGACAUACUAUGCAAAUCUAAGAGAUUAGACGUUCCCUUCGGGGACAUGGAUACAGGUGGUGCAUGGUUGUCGUCAGCUCGUGUCGUGAGAUGUUGGGUUAAGUCCCGCAACGAGCGCAACCCUUAUUAUCAGUUGCCAGCAUUAAGUUGGGCACUCUGGUGAGACUGCCGGUGACAAACCGGAGGAAGGUGGGGAUGACGUCAAAUCAUCAUGCCCCUUAUGACCUGGGCUACACACGUGCUACAAUGGAUGGUACAACGAGUUGCGAACUCGCGAGAGUAAGCUAAUCUCUUAAAGCCAUUCUCAGUUCGGAUUGUAGGCUGCAACUCGCCUACAUGAAGUCGGAAUCGCUAGUAAUCGCGGAUCAGCAUGCCGCGGUGAAUACGUUCCCGGGCCUUGUACACACCGCCCGUCACACCAUGAGAGUUUGUAACACCCAAAGUCGGUGGGGUAACCUUUUAGGAACCAGCCGCCUAAGUGGACCAGAA